CCUGGCGGUGCUCCUUAUGCAUGCAAGUUGAGCGAAGCUUUUCAGUAGUUUACUACAGAAAAUGACUGAGCGGCGAACGGGUGAGUAACGCGUGAGCAAUCUACCUUAGUUACUGGGACAGCCCGAGGAAACUCGGAUUAAUACCGGAUAAUCUUAUUACAUCACAUGAUAUUUUAAGUAAAGGUCAGCCGAACUAAGAUGAGCUCGCGUUCUAUCAGCUAGUUGGUGGGGUAAAAGCCUACCAAGGCUACGACGGAUAGCUGGC
rnacentral:rRNA from 1 species